GAGUUGGGUCUUUAUAGUUUUGGCUUUGGUUCAAAUCUCACACCUUCCGUUUUUUCAACACCCCAGCUUUUUGUUCUUCCCCACGUGUCAGGCUCCCAGCUUUUUGUUCUUUCCCACAUGAUGCCUCAUCUUUUGACUCAUCCUUUAUCAUACAUCUAUACACAAGUAAGGAGAGAGAUAUGAUCCUAGGGAAAAAGAGACCUGAAUAAGAGAGAGAUGCAUAUUUUUAGAGAGAGGAGUGGUCUGAUGACCAUCUCCCACCGAACCACUGGCGGCCUCUCCGAUGAACGGUGGUAAACAGUGGUUUUCGAUGGACAACAGAGGAGAGAUGGCGUUCGUGCUAGGCUUUGACACAGGAGACGACAGUGUUGAUGUUAUUGGGUCGUCAAACGGUGGUGGUGUCGUUCCGAUAACCAUAGUUGUUUCCGGUGACCUUUGAUAUUCCGGUCAGACCGACGAUGCUUUGGUAAUCACAAAAUAAUGACCACUCUUGUUAAGAUUGGUCCCUACCGUGAUAUCGUAUCUUUUUACACAGCUCAUAUCCACCCUCACUUCCAACCCAACCCCUCGUCCCGUCGAUCGCCACCACCACUACAUGUCAGCUAGGAAGUUCGCUGUGGGGAUUUGGUGGUUUUAAAUAGUAAUGGGUUUGUAUCUUAGGUAGAGAAAUCAUCCCCAUUUUAUGUUUUUUUUUUUCUAGAGUUUUGCUAUUUGAAUUACUUUAGUUUAUCCCCACAUAAUCAGAAAAUGUGUUCAAAACCAUAAAGUGUCUGAUCUCAGAAGUCUUCAAGAUGUGAGUUAUGGCAAUGGUAUUGAUUGGCAUUAAUAGUUUCACGGUGAGAUUGCAGUCAGUUUAUAUAUGAGUUGCUAAAAUCUAGAGUUAAAACUUUUUGAGAAGAAUUUGUAUGGCCAUUGGUAAAAAUAAGCCAAUGAUCUCUAGAUCAAGUGGUGGAGGGCUUACAUUUCUCUUGUGAGAUGCAGGUUCGACUCCCACUUGGUGCAGAGUGAGGCAUUGGUGGGCAAUGAUAGGAGACCCAGGGAAACCUGGGUUGGAUCCUUGAGCCAAACGGGUUUUACCGGUAAUUUCACUGUCGUGCCUACGGGCGGGUGGGUUACCGGGUUUUCCCUGGAAUUGGUGGUGGACUCGGGUUACUCUCGGAGUACUCCGUUUGUCCAGUGGGUGCCCCAAGAGUGCUCGGGAUUAAGUUUGUUGGCCGUUCAAAAAAAAAAAAUAAGCCAUAUGAUUGCUUUUGAUAUUCAACUUUUUUGCCUUUACCAAUGGCUUCUAACCAUCUGAACCGUUAUUUUAAUAAUUGUAUGGCCUAUUUUUGAGAAGAAUUUGUGUAUCUUAGACAUGUGGUAUGCGAGUAAACUAUUUAAUUGCCAUUUAAGGAUGUGGUUUUGAUAGAAGAAAAUUUAAUUUAUUCAUUUGUUGAUGUGAGUUUUGUAGUAGGCUGAUGAUUCAAAUUGUUAUUGCUUGACCUUAUGCAUCUGUUUUCUGAAACUUUCAUAACUGAAAAGAAGGUCUCAAGCUAACGAAAACAAGGUUUUAUGCAUACAAGGUAAAUCAAGUAAACUGAUGAAUUGGAUUUUGUAGCGAGUGAUGGCGCUCAAGCAGCCUAACAUAGGCAUAUUAGUUCGUUUGAACAAGCCCAAGAAGGAGUUGGCCAAUAGCGGCGUAAGUUUUAUUUUUGUCAAUUUCUUAUAUUGAUUUGACGUUCUAAAUUACAUAAAAGGUUCUGUUGUAGUCAUUAUUGUUUUUUUUCAUUUUGGGUUUAUAUGGUUAUCUUGGUCAUUAUGCUGUUGAAGUUUUGGGUUUGUUUGUUUUCCUGAUGAAACUUGUGGAUAAAGUUUUUGGAUCUUAUGUGAAAACUCAAGAAGUGUAUGAAGUAGCUGCUGGACCUGUUACAAAAGCUUAUAUGGAAGGAAGUGUAUUCGCAUAUGGUGUUACAAGUAGUGGGAAGGCGCAUACCAUGCAUGUAAGUACAUUAUUUAUUUCCAUGCCAUCGAUGUAUUUUUAUUUAUAAGCCCAAGCAAGAAUCUUUUAUGCAAGGCCAUUGUUAGACACAUUUAAAUACUACUCAUAAUAGUUGCUCUGUACCUGAUAGAAGCAUAUGGUCUGUUAAUGCAUCGAACUUGUGUUGGACUUUAACUCCUUAUCAUAUGAUCUUUAAAUUCUCA